GGAUGAGUACUUGUUGUGUGAAUUAUAUGUCUUAUCUGAGGAACACCUCGAUGAAGGCGGAUUUUCGUUCCUUACUGGCGGCGUGGGGCGAAAGGGGGGGGAGCAAACAGGAGAUAGAUACCCUGGUAGUCCCCGCACGUAAACGAUGAAUGUUAGCCGUCGGGCAGUAUACUGUUCGGUGGCGCAGCUAACGCAUUAUACAUUCCGCGUGGGGAGGACGGUCGCAAGAUAAAAACUCAAAGGAAUUGAGGGGGGCCCGCACAAGCGGUGGAGCAUGUGGUUUAAUUAGAAAGCGACGCGCAGAACCUUACCAGCUGUUGACAUUCGGGGUAUGGGCAUGGAGACGAUGUCCUUCAGUUAGGCUGGCACCAGAACAGGUGCUGCAUGUUGUCGUCAGCUCGUGUCGUGAGAUGUUGGGUUAAGUCCCGCAACGAGUGCAACCCUCGCCCUUAGUUGCCAGCAUUUAGUUGGGCACUAUAAGGGGACUGCCGGUGAUAAGCCGAGAGGAAGGUGGGGAAGACGUCAAGUCCUCAUGGCCCUUACGGGCUGGGCUACACACGUGCUACAAUGGUGGUGACAUUGGGCAGCGAGGCAGCGAGUCGAGAUAAUCUCCAAAAACCAUUUCAGGUCGGAUUGCACUCUGCAACUGGAGUGCAUGAAGUUGGAAUCGGUAGUAAUCGCUGAUCAGCAUGUUGCGGUGAAUACGUUCCCGGGCGUUGUUAACACCGGUCGUCACACCAUGGGAGGUGGUUUUAUCCUAUGGUAUUGCGCCACCGCAAGGAGGGAG
rnacentral:rRNA from 1 species